UACGGAGGGUCCAAGCGUUAAUCGGAAUUACUGGGCGUAAAGCGCGUGUAGGCUGCUCUGCAAGUCGGAUGUGAAAGCCCUGGGCUCAACCUAGGAAGUGCACUCGAAACUGCAGAGCUUGAGCCCUGGAGAGGAAGGCGGAAUUCUCGGUGUAGAGGUGAAAUUCGUAGAUAUCGAGAGGAACACCGGUGGCGAAGGCGGCCUUCUGGACAGUGACUGACGCUGAGACGCGAAAGCGUGGGGAGCGAACAGG
rnacentral:rRNA from 1 species